CAUUUUCGAUGUUUUACGACGC
rnacentral:siRNA from 1 species